rnacentral:misc_RNA from 1 species
GCCUGGAGGUGAUGAAGCAAACAUCCUAGUCCGCACUAAAGUGCCCCUUUUACCCCUUAUUGUUCAUCACAAAUGAAUGUGCUGACGAGAGAGAGUCCGAGUUUGAAUUGUUUGGUCAUGUAAUAAUGGAUGAAUGAAGGAAAUAUCCUCG